GUGGUUUCUGCUAAGAGAACCUUUUGACAGUCCUAUAAACACUGUUGAAUAAGGGGUGGGCAAGUUCUGGUGUCAGCCGCCGCGGUAAAACCAGCACCUCAAGUGGUCAGGAUGAUUAUUGGGCCUAAAGCAUCCGUAGCCGGCUCUGUAAGUUUUCGGUUAAAUCUGUACGCUCAACGUACAGGCUGCCGGGAAUACUGCAGAGCUAGGGAGUGGGAGAGGUAGACGGUACUCGGUAGGAAGGGGUAAAAUCCUUUGAUCUAUUGAUGACCACCUGUGGCGAAGGCGGUCUACCAGAACACGUCCGACGGUGAGGGAUGAAAGCUGGGGGAGCAAACCGGAUUAGAUACCCGGGUAGUCCCAGCUGUAAACCAUGCAAACUCAGUGAUGCAUUGGCUUGUGGCCAAUGCAGUGCUGCAGGGAAGCCGUUAAGUUUGCCGCCUGGGAAGUACGUACGCAAGUAUGAAACUUAAAGGAAUUGGCGGGGGGGAGCACA
rnacentral:rRNA from 1 species